rnacentral:rRNA from 1 species
AUUGAACGCUGGCGGCAUGCUUUACACAUGCAAGUCGAACGGUAACAGGCCUUCGGGUGCUGACGAGUGGCGAACGGGUGAGUAAUUCAUCGGAACGUACCCAGAGGUGGGGGAUAACGCAGCGAAAGCUGUGCUAAUACCGCAUGUGAUCUGAGGAUGAAAUCGGGGGACCGAGCAGCAAUGUUUGGCCUCGCGCCUUUGGAGCGGCCGAUGUCGGAUUAGCUAGUUGGUGGGGUAAAGGCCUACCAAGGCGACGAUCCGUAGCUGGUCUGAGAGGACGGUCAGCGACACUGGGACUGAGACACGGACCAGACUCCUACGGGAGGCAGCAGUGGGGAAUUUUGGACAAUGGGCGGAAGCCUGAUCCAGCAAUGCCGCGUGCGGGAAGAAGGCCUUCGGGUUGUAAACCGCUUUUGGCAGGAACGAAACGGUGUCCGCUAAUACCGGGCGCUAAUGACGGUACCUGCAGAAGAAGCACCGGCUAACUACGUG